UACGAAGGGGGCUAGCGUUGCUCGGAAUGACUGGGCGUAAAGGGCGCGUAGGCGGCUGUGACAGUCAGAUGUGAAAUUCCUGGGCUUAACCUGGGGGCUGCAUUUGAUACGUGUUGUCUAGAGUGAGGAAGAGGGUCGUGGAAUUCCCAGUGUAGAGGUGAAAUUCGUAGAUAUUGGGAAGAACACCGGUGGCGAAGGCGGCGACCUGGUCCUUUACUGACGCUGAGGCGCGAAAGCGUGGGGAGCAACCAGG
rnacentral:rRNA from 1 species